CGUUGAAACACGGGUUCUCAUACUAACAUCGAAGUUAAUCAACGUUGAGCCUGGUCAGGACUUAGAUGGGUGACCGCUUUUGAAUACCAUGUGCUGUAUG